CAGCCGCCGCGGUAAUACGAAGGGGGCUAGCGUUGUUCGGAAUUACUGGGCGUAAAGCGCACGUAGGCGGACAUUUAAGUCAGGGGUGAAAUCCCGGGGCUCAACCCCGGAACUGCCUUUGAUACUGGGUGUCUAGAGUAUGGAAGAGGUGAGUGGAAUUCCGAGUGUAGAGGUGAAAUUCGUAGAUAUUCGGAGGAACACCAGUGGCGAAGGCGGCUCACUGGUCCAUUACUGACGCUGAGGUGCGAAAGCGUGGGGAGCAAACAGGAUUAGAUACCCGGGUAGUCCCUGUCUCUUAUAC
rnacentral:rRNA from 1 species